rnacentral:rRNA from 1 species
GAAUUCACUAGUGAUUCAGGCCUAACACAUGCAAGUCGAGCGGUAGAGAGAAGCUUGCUUCUCUUGAGAGCGGCGGACGGGUGAGUAAUGCCUAGGAAUCUGCCUGGUAGUGGGGGAUAACGUUCGGAAACGGACGCUAAUACCGCAUACGUCCUACGGGAGAAAGCAGGGGACCUUCGGGCCUUGCGCUAUCAGAUGAGCCUAGGUCGGAUUAGCUAGUUGGUGAGGUAAUGGCUCACCAAGGCGACGAUCCGUAACUGGUCUGAGAGGAUGAUCAGUCACACUGGAACUGAGACACGGUCCAGACUCCUACGGGAGGCAGCAGUGGGGAAUAUUGGACAAUGGGCGAAAGCCUGAUCCAGCCAAGGCGCGUGUGUGAAGAAGGUCUUCGGAUUG